UGCAGUUACCUCCCGCUCGAGUGUUUCAGCCAAAACACGAACACCCUGACGUGACAAAUGCACUCCAUCCCUGGCGUACAAGGUGUCCCUGCCAUAGAAAAGGUCCCAGUUGUCGAUGAACGUCCAUCCAUUACUCCUACAAUGAUUUGCGAGCCUGCGAUUCACUGUAAUAGCCCUGGACAGCCACUCAGCACCAACUCCCCUCCUCGGCAAGACACCACAUACCACGAGGAUCCCUCCCUUGUCCCUAAUCCUGUCCAAAGCCUGUCGAAACCUCCUGAUAAGCUCCUCACUCCUGACCUUACCAAGGUCAUUCCCUCCCGCACUGAGAAAAACAAUGGGCUUGGUCCCAUCUUUUUCCAAGCACGUGUCUAGCCUAUCAGCUACCUUCCCUAUCCCGGCCCCCGGCAAACACACCCUCGACCUACGCUUCCUAUCACUAGCACAGAACGCACUAUUUAAAUGCCUAACCUAUCACCAAAUACAAACACUCUACCUUGGGGCAGGGUAACUGCAUCUGCCCCCUCCUUCUUGCCUCCUCCCGCCCUAUCCACCUCCUUCUCCUUCCCUUCCUCCAGCACAUUGAAGGGAUUCUUCGUCUCCACGCAAGGUGCCCUGAGGACCUUCACCCUCUUGGCUCCCCUGCACACAACCGACCACUGCUCCUCCGUCGCCUUACUAGGUAAGGUGACGGUGGGGCACGACCCUCCCACAGGUGCUGAGAUUCUCUCAUAGAACUCAGCCUGCAGGUCUGAGAUCCUCUCACGAAACUCAGCCUGCACCUCCGAGAUCCUUCGAUGGAACACAGCCUCCACCUCUGAGAUCUUCGCAACGAAGGCCUUGAGAACAGGAGAACUAACACAACCAGACGACUCAGCAACACAAGGCGCCAUGUCUACACUAGCCAGCUAUAGCGUCAGGUCACUGCUCACUAUACACGUCCGUUCACUAGGAACCCUGACCUGAGACAAAGAUGAAUAAAUCCAUAUUUUUCGAACUAGAUUCUUGU